UACAGAGGUCCCGAGCGUUGUUCGGAUUCACUGGGCGUAAAGGGUGCGUAGGUGGCGGGGUAAGUCUGAUGUGAAAUCUCCAAGCUUAACUUGGAAAUGGCAUUGGAAACUACUCUGCUCGAGGGUUGGAGGGGGGACUGGAAUACUUGGUGUAGCAGUGAAAUGCGUAGAUAUCAAGUGGAACACCGGUGGCGAAGGCGGGUCUCUGGGCCGAUACUGACGCUGAGGAGCGAAAGCGUGGGGAGCGAACAGG
rnacentral:rRNA from 1 species